CACAAGGUUAUUGUUUCAGUGGUGGACUGCAAUGUCACCACAUUUGCUCUCCCCUCAGUAUGUUUACAUGGCGUUAGGAAAAAAAAAGGAUUGUGCUGGUCCGACUGCAACUGGACCUUUAGACGUGUUAGUCAGACUGAUGCUGUGCUAAAUUGAAGUAACACAAUCUGGCCCACAUAUGAUGGUACCUGUGUGGUCCACUCCUGUUUGCCAUACCUAGGCCACAAGCUGGUCACUUGAACGCCACAUGUCAACAAUUGGUGGUCCACAUUUUUUUGUCACACUUUUGACCCAAUGGCCCAAAUUUGUUUAAGAAUAUUCGGGCCACAUUUGCUAUUUCAUGUGUAGACCACUUAAGGCUUACAUCAAUUUUUGUUCUGGGCCAGAUUAAACGCCAGCAGUGCCACACCACUGCCAGAUGUGGCUUACAUCCAGAUGCUGCCUGGGUUGGGAGUCAGAUUAUGAGUGCGUUUAUACGAAUUACAACUGGACUCAUGCUGGCCUGAGCGCUCUGCACAUGCUCCUCAGUUCCCACGCCCCGGCUUUCACCUAGAACAACUAGAAGACGCCAGUACACAGUGGAAGAAAGUGAGAUUAAAAAUGUUGGAAUCCAGAUCGUUGUGUUUUAGAAUCAAUCGAAGAAUGGUGCCCAACAUGCUAACAAGGAACAUCUAUAGUUGCUGUGGUGCAUCAACCAGGAAACCAGCCCAUUUACACUCCAUUUUCUUUGUUUUCAUCCGUCCAACUUACAGUGUUAUUUUAGCUUGUCAUAAAGUUAUAGUUUGCAGGUGUUACAGCUUACAGUUAUUAUUAUCAUGUAAUAUUAAUGAAACCUUGCUUUCCCGAAAUGCCGACAUUGCUUUGCCAGGGCCAUUUUUUGGUCCCAGUCCAGCAGUGAUGUGUGGUCAGGGAAGGCAGAGUUGACAAUGAUUAAAUAAAAUCAAUUUGUCCACUUGACUGUUCUAUAAAUAAGUUUUCUGUAUGAUUUCAACAUUUCUAUGGUCAAAAUAUUAUUUCGUACCGUUCAGCAGCACCACUAAAUACAGUGAUCGUAAAGCUGAACACUCCCAACAAAAACUGAAUGUUAUAAUGUUAUAUAAAGUUAGAUUUGGCUAAAAGUAACAAAUAAACUGUCAGUUCUUACACCCAAAGCUGUCAGACAUAAUUUUUCAUCGCCUCAGAACAGAGAACAAACACAAAAUCCUCAUCUUUUUAAAUAAAGGAAGUAAACUGUCAGCUGCAGCUCUCCUUCACCGAUAAAUGCCCAAUUAUUGCUGCCUUGUGCAAUGUCCUUCGUCUGUAUUAUUUGUCCAGCUUGUUUUCUGACAUUGCUUUUAAUACGGUUGUCCAAUCGCACGUGUUAUGCUGCUAACUGACCCUGUCUUGGUUAGGUCUUACUUAUAAUAUCGCGUAAACAAGUAAAUGACAUAAAAUGAAAUUAUCAUAUAAAAAACAUGUAAGUAUUAGCGUGAAAGAUAAUGUGUAACUGCCAGUAUAGUUACCCCUCCCCCUCACCUCUCCCUCUGUUGACUCCAGCUGUAGGUCCUUGCGACUGCUGACCUUCAGCUGCCCCUGGGCAGCGCUCACGUCAACCCCUCUGGGAGCCUCCAUGGUCAGGGAGGUUUGUGUUAAUAAAACUUCACCUUUCAGCUGA